ACCGUGCUAAGGUAGCAUAAUCAUUUGCCUCUUAAUUGGUGGCUAGUAUGAAUGGACACACGCAAGCAUCGCUGUCUCACUAAUAUAAAUAAAAACUAACCUUUAGGUGAAGAGGCCUAAAUAAAAUAAAAAGACAAAAAGACCCUAUGGAGCUUUAUUUUUCCUCCUUUAACGUACAAUAUACUAAAAUACCUUCCAGGACUAACAAAUUUAGUUGGGGCGACUUAGGAAAACAAUAAAUCUUCCUAGUUUAACAAGAAAAUAAUUCAUCCAACGAUCCGCCAUGCGAAUACAGAUCCAGCUACCCUAGGGAUAACAGGCUAAUUCUUCUCGAGAGCCCGAAUUGACAGAAGAGAUUGGCACCUCG
rnacentral:rRNA from 1 species